rnacentral:rRNA from 1 species
GACGAACGCUGGCGGCGUGCCUAAUACAUGCAAGUCGAACGCAGUGGGGACGGGUGAGUAACACGUGGGUAACCUCCCAUCAGAGGGGAUAACACUUGGUAACAGGUGCUAAAACGAUACUGAUGGAUGGACCCGCGGUGCAUUAGCUAGUUGGGGAGGUAACGGCUCACCAAGGCCACGAUGCAUAGCCGCCCGUGGAGGGCUAUCGGCCACACUGGGACUGAGACACGGCCCAGACUCCUGCGGGAGGCAGCAGUAGGGAAUCUUCGGAAAUGGACGAAAGUCUGACCGAGCGACGCCGCGUGAGUGAGGAAGGUUUUCGGAUCGUAAAACGCUGUUGUUAGAGAAGCGGUAUCUAACCAGAAAGCCACGGCUAACUCCGUGCCAGCAGCCGCGGUAAUAC